AUCCCAGAUAAAAGUUUUUGUGUUUACCUGAUGCAUGGGCGGCAGAUAUAAAUAGUGGUAGUUCACUGAUAGCACCUUAUGUCUUUAGAAGGUAUGCUAAUAGUACCUUACCACACACUC